rnacentral:tRNA from 1 species
GCCCGGGUGGCGGAACUGGUAGACGCGCCAGACUCAAAAUCUGGUUCUCGCAAGGGAGUGGGGGUUCGAUUCCCCCCUCGGGCACUA